rnacentral:rRNA from 1 species
UCAGGCCUAACACAUGCAAGUCGAACUAGCUCUAGCGCAAGUUAGAGUGGGUGGCGGACGGGUGAGGAACACGUAAGAACCUACCCCUCGGAGGAGGAUAACUGCUGGAAACGGCAGCUAAUACUCCAUAUGCUGAGGAGUGAAAGAUCGAAAGAUCGCCGGGGGACGGGCUUGCGUCUGAUUAGCUAGUUGGUGAGGUAAAUGCUUACCAAGGCGACGAUCAGUAGCUGGUCUGAGAGGAUGAUCAGCCACACUGGGACUGAGACACGGCCCAGACUCCUACGGGAGGCAGCAGUGAGGAAUUUU